CGGACGGGUGAGUAAUGUCUGGGAAACUGCCUGAUGGAGGGGGGUAACUACUGGAAACGGUAGCUAAUACCGCAUAACGUCGCAAGACCAAAAGAAGGGGGGACCGUUCGGGCCUCUUGCCAUCGGAUGUGCCCAGAUGGGAUUAGCUAGUAGGUGGGGUAACGGCUCACCUAGGCGACGAUCCCUAGCUGGUCUGAGAGGAUGACCAGCCACACUGGAACUGAGACACGGUCCAG
rnacentral:rRNA from 1 species